rnacentral:rRNA from 1 species
UACGGAGGGGGCGAGCGUUGUCCGAAGUUACUGGGCGUAAAGCGCGUGUAGGCGGGUUGCCAAGUCCGCUGUGAAAGCCCGAGGCUCAACCUCGGAGGGUCGGUGGAUACUGGCAGUCUUGAAGGUGCUAGGGGGAGAUGGAAUUACCGGUGUAGCGGUGAAAUGCGUAGAGAUCGGUAGGAACACCAGUGGCGAAGGCGGGUCUCUGGGCCAAAACUGACGCUGAGGAGCGAAAGCGUGGGGAGCGAACAGG